rnacentral:lncRNA from 1 species
AAGAGUAUUUGAGAUUUGUAAAAGUAGAUGAAUGAAGGAGCUCGGAGUGCUUUAAAAUUUGUGUGAUAGGUGAUCCUUAAAUAUGGGCUAUAUAAUCGGGAUAUCUUAAGAUUUAUGCGAGUUGAUAAAUGAAGGUAUUUUUUUUGUACAUGCGGGCGGUCACACCACUCUGAUAUGAGUACAGUUCAGAAAAUCAGAAUAUAAAAAAUCCCA